AGCACAAGUGAUGAAUGACAAAAGGGACUUAAUUCUGAAACCUGGGGUUGAAAUUCUAUAUGCUGAUGUGC